AUUGAACGCUAGCGGGAUGCUUUACACAUGCAAGUCGAACGAGUGGCGGACGGGUGAGUAAUAUAUCGGAACAUGCCCAGUGGCGGGGGAUAACUACUCGAAAGAGUGGCUAAUAACGCAACCUACUGGAGCGGCCGAUAUCGGAUUAGGUAGUUGGUGGGGUAAAGGCUGACAACGGCAACGAUCCGUAGCUGGUUUGAGAGGACGACCAGCCACACUGGGACUGAGACACGGCCCAGACUCCUACGGGAGGCAGCAGUGGGGAAUGUUGGACAAUGGGGGAAACCCUGAUCCAGCCAUCCCGCGUGUAUGAGAAGGCCUUCGGGUUGUAAAUUACUUUUGGCAGAGAAGCGGUAUCUGCAGAAUAAGCACCGGCUAACUACGUGCCAGCAGCCGCGGUAAUUC
rnacentral:rRNA from 1 species